UACGUAGGGGGCAAGCGUUGUCCGGAAUUAUUGGGCGUAAAGAGCGCGUAGGCGGUCCGAUAAGUCGGCUGUGAAAGUCCAGGCUCAACCCUGGAAAGCCGGCCGAUACUGUCGGACUAGAGUCCGGAAGAGGCGAGUGGAAUUCCCGGUGUAGGCGGUGAAAUGCGCAGAUAUCGGGAAGGAACACCAAUGGCGAAGGCAGCUCGCUGGGACGGUACUGACGCUGAGGCGCGAAAGCGUGGGAGCAACAGG
rnacentral:rRNA from 1 species